UUACUCCUACGGGAGGCAGCAGUGAGGAAUAUUGGUCAAUGGGCGGGAGCCUGAACCAGCCAAGCCGCGUGGAGGAAGAAGGCGCCAGGCGUCGUAAACUUCUUUUGUCGGGGAACAAAGGGCGCCACGUGUGGAGUUGUGAGUGUACCCGAAGAAAAAGCAUCGGCUAACUCCGUGCCAGCAGCCGCGGUAAUACGGAGGAUGCGAGCGUUAUCCGGAUUUAUUGGGUUUAAAGGGUGCGUAGGCGGUCCGGA
rnacentral:rRNA from 1 species